rnacentral:rRNA from 1 species
UUAAGUCAGGCAACGAGCGAGACUCACGCCCACAGUUGCCAGCGUACUCUCUGGAGUGACGGGUACACUGUGGGGACCGCCGCUGCUAAAGCGGAAGAAAGAAUGGGCAACGGUAGGUCAGUAUGCCCCGAAUGUCCCGGGCUACACGCGGGCUACAAUGGUUGGUACAAUGGGUAUCUACCCCGAAAGGGGAUGGAAAUCUCCUAAAGCCAAUCUUAGUUCGGAUCGAGGGCUGCAACUCGCCCUCGUGAAGCUGGAAUCCGUAGUAAUCGCGUUUCAAUAGAACGCGGUGAAUACGUCCCUGCUCCUUGCACA